ensembl:lncRNA
GGGUGUGAGCACAUUGCCAAACAAGAGUGCUGGUUUCCUAAAUACAGCUAUCCUUCACAUACCAUUGACUAUCCAGUCUCAUAAAGUCACCUGUGGAUCAAGAGCAUGCAAAGAAACCGUGGAACCGAAAUGCCAUGAGACAAAUGGUCAUGAUCCUUCUGAUGGAAAAACUUUCCAUUCCAGUAAAAAUAUCUAAGAAUUGGUCAUGGUUACUUGCAUUUAGUGUCAUAACCAGACUGCAGCUGAGCCAGUACACUACCAUCCCUUGGAACUCCACGACUGCAGUGCCCUCCUGCCGACUUCCGGGUUUCCGACUGCUGGACACUGCAUCUACCAAGCAAUGGGGGGAAAGAGAUGAAGCACCCGCUCCUGAAUCCCCAGCCAAUGACUGUGGAGUUCCCGAUCCUUUUCCAACUUCUGUGGGUCUUCAGACAACUAUCUUUCAAUCAUCAGUAGCCAAUAGCAUGUAAGUUUUUUCUUUGUAUUACAUGUCUUCAGUGGACAGGGUAAUUGAAUCAUUAUUAAAAAAAAAUUGGGGCAAAAGUCAUAUGCAGUCUAGCCAAGUCAUGAUACUAAAACAUUAACUUUGACUCCAGUGACUGCCAUUGACCACACAUUAAAGGUAAAGUUUGGGUCAGCUAUCUUUGAGCUAAUGGAGAUGCAGAGGAGUGUCAAACUGAAGUCUUUGUCUUUCAUCUACAUUUUGCUGUCUUCUUGUAGAAGGAAUCAAAAUGCGUUUCAUGGGCCCUGCAAACAUUCAGUUGAUGUCCAGGCCAUAAGAUUGCAGUUCUGUUAGCUUACACUGACUUUCACAAUCGAGAAGAGGGUUGCAAAAUGAUAGUGAACAAUGUUCUCACUGAAGAUCCAUUUUAACGGUCUUUCCUGAUCCCAUUGGAAUGUAAUUAUUUUGAUGCCAGCCUAACCAAAACAAAGUAGCAGAUAUGCCCUGCAAUAAGCCUUCAGCUGAGCAGCUGGAGACAGGAUAAACACCUGGCUUCAGAAGUUAAUAAAAAGCUUGUAUCAGCAGCUUUGCUGACCUUUGUUAACAAGGGUAUGUGUGGCUUUGCAUCAUCAUGUCAGUGUUCUAAACAAACAAGGAUAUGGGCAAGUCCAGAAGUCGCAUGCAAAAUGCAGACUCCUUGUGCAUCUACCGCCAAGAUUUAUGACUUUCUUAAAGCUAGAAACUCAUAUUAUUUGAGGAAAGAAACCUUUUUAAAGCAAUCAUCAAGUGCCUUAUUUGCUUUGGACUCCAGAGACAGAAAGUGAAACAAUUAAAAUUGAAUAAAAGUAUCAAGUAAGGACUCUCAAAUUGUUGCAAUAAGCAGGUGACUUCAGUACAUAUUAACCAAGCAAUUAUUGGGUCUCAGUAACAUCAGCUCUGACUUGCUGACUUCCCAGGGCAGCUCUGAGGCCAGUGUGGUAGACGCUUCUCCAUUGUGAGCCUGUGCAUGUUUCUAUCCGCAAAUCUUUUUGCUCUAUCUCUACAAAGUUAGGAAAAAGUGGUAUUGAAUGGGUUGUGAUUUUUUUCUUGUAACUUCUUGGAACUCUGUUCAUUCUUGUUUUGAUACUUUCUCAGCAUAUCACAGAAUAAUAAGAGUAUUCUCCCUUACUUUUCAUGUCCUUCCCUUUCCCUAUACCCUCUCAAUUUUUUCCUAUUAGUGUCCCCAUAAUUUUCUCUUUCCACAUCCCCUGUCAACAUGACAUUCUAACUUCCCAUUGCUUCAUUCAUAAUCUCUAUACCUGUACUUCCUUUAUGUGUUUUUUAAAAACCCAAAAAUACAAACAUCUUUCCAAAAAUCAGAGAACUUUAGGGUCUUUUAGAGAGCAUUUGGUGAUGUCCGUACUUUUGUUUUAAGUGGGACUACACGCGUAUUAUUGCAAUUAGAUGAAGAGCUAUUCUGUUUUAAACAGUCUACAGAGGAGACAAUUCUAGUUUAUACUUACUGAUGCUAGCUGCUUAUCAAAUCCAUGUUCUCCUCCCUGGAAACGGGGCAUAUUUCCUAAUUUCCUUUGCAGUUAAAAUGUCCUUGUGACUGAGCUUUAGCCAGGGACCAUGAAUAGAAAAAAGCUCCACUCAUAGUCCUGGACCAUAUAAACUUUCCAUAAAUAGACCUCCAUACUCCUCCUUUUCCCUCUGACUGGGAUAGAGAAGAGUCCCAGGAUGACUCUGGAAAACAUCUGUUGAAGACAACAAAGCUUCCAUCACUCUGUGCUUCUGGAUGAUUAUGUUGAAAAGUGUCAAUCAACCUUUCUUCAGACAUCUAGUAAGCAUGAGUAACAAAUAUGUCUAUAUUACUUUCAGGCCAGAAUACAUUUCUGCCUUAUUUGUAAUAAAAGUUAGCAUUAUUCUAAUGAAUAUAAUAGCAGCUUAAUAUUAAAACUGUCAUUCUGUGAGGCAUGUGUAUCAUUUCAUUCCACUGAUCUAAGUUUAUGAAACCAAUGCUCUCUCUUUGAUAUGUCUUAGAAAUCUUUGCUGAUAGUAUAAAAGGCGUUUUGGCUUUCUUUCCUUUCUUAUUAUCUUAAAUUCACUUUUAGUUUACAUAUAAGAUUUAAGGUC